GACGAACGCUGGCGGCGUGCUUAACACAUGCAAGUCGAACGAUGAACCGGAGCUUGCUCUGGGGAUUAGUGGCGAACGGGUGAGUAACACGUGGGCAACCUGCCCCAGACACCGGGAUAACCAUUGGAAACGAUGGCUAAUACCGGAUACGACCACUUCGGGCAUCCGAUGGUGGUGGAAAGGAUUCUGGUCUGGGAUGGGCCCGCGGCCUAUCAGCUUGUUGGUGGGGUAAUGGCCUACCAAGGCGACGACGGGUAGCCGGCCUGAGAGGGCGACCGGCCACACUGGGACUGAGACACGGCCCAGACUCCUACGGGAGGCAGCAGUGGGGAAUAUUGCGCAAUGGGCGAAAGCCUGACGCAGCGACGCCGCGUGAGGGACGAAGGUCUUCGGAUUGUAAACCUCUUUCAGCAGGGAUGAAGCGAAAGUGACAGUGCCUGCAGAAGAAGCACCGGCUAACUACGUGCCAGCAGCCGCGGUAAU
rnacentral:rRNA from 1 species